UAUUUUCAGUUUAUUCCAGUGUGUUUCCAGUGUUUUGUAUCUACCUUCAGUCUGUCCAGAGUGUCACUCAGGGACUGUAGUCGAGCUGUUUGUUCCAGGAGCUGAGCACCAGGUGUCACUGCAGGACAGAAAAACACACUCAUACCUGGGGAUUUCCCAGUGAUGUCGACCACCUUGACGUUCGCGCUCAUCUGCAGCAAAGUCUCCAGGAGCUGGUCGGUCUUGCGGUAGAGGGCGCUAGAGAGCACUUCAGGACGACCUCCGUCUCUGGAGGGAAGUUUGGUCACAUGGAGAGGAGGCAGAGAGGCGAGCUGGACGCGCAUCGUCUCAGCCUGAGAGGUGUUUGAUGCAGAGUCUCUGAGCUUCGAUCUGCUGAGUCAGCAGAGGAGAGUCGAUCACCUGGACUCCUGAGCCUGAACCGACGCCUGACAUCAUGUUCGCUGUGGAUGACAUCAUGUACACAUCAUCAACACCCGACCAGAACGCAAACCAUCAUCUAACAUGUAAUAAACUGUCCAGCUGCAGUGACCUGCCUCUGUAUUCUGUUUAAAUAAAAAACGACGACACAUUAACAUCUG